AACCAUUUUGCUUGAUAACUUGCAGAUGCUGGCCUUCAUUCAUGUUUUGUCGUGAGGUCCAGGAUGAACAAGUUGGGAGAAGCAUUGGAGCUAGUUAUACUGUGAUAGCUGUGUUACCUGAUGUGAACAUUUUUUUAUUGUAAAACUAAUGUGAACCUGUCGGGUGGUAGGUGCGACAUAUGCCAACGGGUGGCUUACCAUGGUGGGUGCCAGUAAGACGUCGCCGGUGCCUGGAAACGGGAUGAGGCGAAGACAUGCACGCCGGCGAAUCUUACCCAGGUUCGGGGCUCUCCGUGGAGAUAACACCCCUAGUCCUGCUCUGCGGGGUCUCCGCAUGAUCACUAGAUCAGAAAGAGUAGCUACAAUUGCUCCUAGAGCUGUUGGGUUCAAGGGAGAAGAAGAGCAAGGCUAGCUCUCACUUCCCUCUCUCUAUGGUGUGUGUGUAACUCUAAGAAGCCGACCCUUUGCAUGGGUGCCCCGGGGGGUUUAUAUAGGCCUACCCCCCGGGGUACAAUUGUAAUCCAGCUGGGCGCUGGUCCCAGUCGUCAGUGUCUGCGCUCGCCGGCUUCUCCGCCGGCCGUUGGGUCCCGCCGGCUGCCGGCCUCUUGCUCGACAAGCCGGCCCCACUGCCUAGGGGUCUUGUCGGCGGCUGCUUACUGUAGCCUCGUCCCUGAUGACGAGGGCUUCGUCAAGGUAAGCGUGGCUACAGUGUGCCGCCUCGAGGGCUCUCACUGUAGCCUUACCUCGUCUUCUCUCCUUAAUGUGGCACAUGCUUUGAGGGAGGGGGUAGCCGGCUUCUGGGGGCCGGCUACGCCCUUGGCCGACUAGGGGAGGCCGGGCCGCCUUCGCGCCUCUCUCUGGCUAAAGGGGUCCGCCGCCCGUGGGCCGUACUAGCAUCUGUCGUGGGUGACGUUGAGGCCAGCAUGGCUACAGGGCCGAGCCGGACGGGAGAUGGCCGUCCCGUACGGCGUCCUGUGGCCAUGCCUGCCUCGGGCUUCGGGGGUAGUGGGCUGCACUGUGGCCACACCCCGUCUUGUCACCGUUAUGUGGGUGUAGUUUUGGUGGGUGCGGUCUUGGCCGGCUUCUUGGAGUCAGCGCUCUUCAUGGCCGGCUCUGGGAGUCGGCGUUCUUCAUGGCCGGCUCUGGGGAGUCGGCAUCCUCUAUGGCCGGCUUCCUGGAGUCGGCCAUCCCGUGAUUAUCUUGGGGGGAGGUUGCUGAGGCUGGGUCGCCUUUUGAGAGUCGGCUUCAGAGGUAGCUGGCCAGGGAAGGCGGCCCAAUGCUUGAAAUGCUUGAAGGCCCAAAUGGCCUGAUAAUUUUUGGAAUAGCUAGGGGCAGUCGGUUAGGCUACCCGUGGCUAUUUACUCCGACAGUAGUCCCCGAAGCUGAUUGGGCUUCGAGGUUGGGUGGGAGUCGAGAAGCUCGGUCAGCUUCCUAUCUUGACAAGCCGGCAGCUGGGAGCCGACUUUGGUUGGGGGCGCCGUCUCGGCGAAUUUGUUUGGAGUCGGAGGGCGGGAGCUCGCCAGCGCGUGCACCGGACCGCGGGCCGGCCACUUGCCGCCUGCGAACCACAUGGCCUCUCUAGGCUAAAAAGCCUGCCAGCCCACGCGCGCGACGGGACGUCGCCGCAGGGCGGGGGCCCGCCACGCCCACGCCCGGGCCCAGGCGCGGAUUCUCUGCGGCCCGAAGCCGCCUGCACGUCUCCCCGCGGCGGUUUCGGCACGCUUUUAGGGCGUAAUAAUCGCGAGGCGUGGGGGGAGUGGGUGCAGUUAAUCCCACGUCUCACCCCACGUCCGGCCUCCCCGGCUUCACCUUGCGAAGCUAUAAGUAGGGGGAGGGGGGAGAGCGGCAGGCUCUCGCAUGCUCCUCCUCUUUCCACCAUCUUCUUCCUCCUGCCCUUUCUUGCAACAGCACCUCGCCGCCGCGCUCUUCCACCACUCGCUCCUCCGCUGCCGCGCUCGUUCUCGCCAGCCCCACGCUGUGAUGCAGUACGACGGGGAUUGGGACGGCUCCAACGUCGACGAGGAUCACGUCGAAUUCCUCCGCAAGACGCGGCGGCUGCCCGGCGCGGACAAGGUGGAGGUCCGUCUCGCGCCGGCGAAGGAGAUUACGCCAGAGCCGCGAGAAGGCGAGCGGGUAGUCUUCCGCUCACAUUUCUUGCGCGGCAUCGGCCUGCCCGUGAGUGCUUUCUUCCGCUCUUGGCUCGAGUUCUACCAGCUCCAGCCGCACAACCUCCCCCCGAACAUGGUGGUGCUGCUAUCCGCCUUCGUCACCUUGUGCGAAGGCUACCUCGGCGUCCUCCCUACCCUCGAGCUCUGGGGGGAGUUCUUCCAGUCCAAGCUGGGCACGCGCAUGCAAGGCGUGCCGGCUCAGAGUGGCGCCUUCAUCGCGAUGCGGAGGGUGGCCGCCGACAACCCCUUCGCCGUCAUCACGCUGAUCCAGUCGGUGAAGUUAUGGCAAAAGUCAUACUUCUACGUGAGGAACGUCGCCCCGCAGGGCGACUACGUCAAUCUGCCGGCUUCCGUAGCCGGCCCGCCGGCGGGCAGGCGGCCCCAGUGGUCCUACCGGGCCGUGACGCUGAUGCCGGCUGGAAACGCAGCCGUCGCCCGAGUGCGAGCGAUGAUCCAGUCGGAGGGCUUGUCGGGGCCCGACCUGCUGGCCGCCUUCGUCACGCGCCGGGUACUCCCGCUCCAGAGCCGCCCUCAUCUGAUCUGUGAGAUGAGCGGCUAGCUCGAUCCGAGCCGGAUGUGUACCAAGGACAUGCCGCACGAUGAGGUGGCAUAUAUGGUGAACUACCUUGCGAACUGCAAACUCUCCGCAGAGUGGCAAUUCGGUAAGGAGCCAUAUUGCCGAGCCAAUCCGCCGCCUACGGUAUGUUCUCCUUGUCUCUUCUUCUUCUCUCAGUUUUGUCGCCGAGUUCCUUUCGGCCGACUCUGACUAGUCGGCUUGUUUUCGUCAGAGCCCUCUUCUUCGGCCUGCAGGCGGGUUGGACGCAGAGCGCCGAUUCGCCCCGGACCGGACGGAGCACGAUCUGGAGGACCCCGACUUGGGGGCGGCUGCUAUGGACGACAACACCGAGCCGGGUGGUGGCCAAGCCGGCAGUGAAGCAGGCGGCUCCGGGCUUGGAGUCAGCUUCGACGACUGGCCGGACGAUGACGAGGCCGAAGUCGUCCCGCGCCGUCAGCCGGCGUCUGGCAGCGGCGCGGGUUCCUCCGCUGCGCCGCCUGCUCGGGGCGGCGGACAAAACCGUCGUGCCGCGCAGGGUUUGUUCGGCAGUCGGUCGAAGAAGCCCCGAGGCGGGGCAGCGGUGACUAGGCGGGAGGAGGCGGCCGCGAAGGCGGCUCGCUUCCGCAAGACGGUGAAGCAACCGCAGACGGUGUCAGCGUAAGUUCAAACUCUUUCGUGUAGUCUUUUUUCUUUUCUCUGGUGGCUCCUGAAUCCUUGUCUUUUUCCCCAAACAACCAGAGCUCCAUUGUCGCUCGAGCGGGCGGCUGCCGCCUCCGUCGUUGAGUCCUCGAGGGGAUCUGGGAGCACCACUCGCCGCGUGGACCCCCGUGCCGACCUUCAGGCGGCGACGGAACGGAACGCGCGGGAGGUGUGGGAGGAGCGGGAGGUGCGGGAGGCGGAGGCACGGAAGGUGGCUGCCGCCCAGGCGGCGCAGGAGGAGGAGGCGGCGAAGGCGCGCGCCGACGCCGCAGCCAAGGCCCAAGCGAAGGCUGCAGCUGCGGCGAUGGCGGAGGGGGCCUUGUUGGUCACCCCACUGCGCGUCGCAGCGCCUGGGGCCCCGGAGCCUCCGCCAGAAGAAGCCGGCGGUGACCAGCCGGGGCUGGAGAGGGAUGACGACGUCGUCAUCCUAGAGAGAGCGCCGGUGCCGACCCCGCCGACUGGGGCGGCUCAAGGCGGCCGGCCUGAUCUGCCGCCUGCGCAGUCGGCGGGGGGCGAGCCGACUGCGAGGACUGAGCUGGCGGUCCGGAUGCCGCCGAGCCGGCGCGCGGGGAAGGCUGCGUCAGAGCCACAGAAGGCUGCGUCGGAGCCGCAGCCGGCCGCGGGCUCCAGCUCGUCGGCCCAGGAUGUGGAGGUGGCCAGCGCUACCUCGGGGUGGACGCCGGGCAGAGGGACGGCCGUGAUGAACGUGGCUGCGCAGGACGUCCGGACCCGGCUCGAGGCCCAGGCUACGGCGCUGAGGCAAUACACCGACGAAUUCCUUGCGACGCGGGCGGCCAUCCAGGUUAGUCUUCUUAUCUUGCUUCUUCUUGAUCUUGGUUUCUUCCGUGGGGGCGCGUCAGCACACCCACUGGGUGUAGUCCCCGAGUUCCGAGUCGGCUACUGAGCAGGCGGCUUGAAACUUCUUAGUGGAUUUGGCUUUGCUAUUCUUGUUCUUACUUCGAUCUUCUGCCUAUCUUGCAGGACUACCACAAUCUUCGUGCGGCCACCUUCAACUCCCAGGCUCGGGAGCUGACCCAGAAGACCGCCGACCUAACAGAGAGCCGGGGUAACUGCUUUGUUCUUUAACUCACGUGGGGGCGCGUCAGCGCACCCACUGGGUGUAGUCCCCGAGAUUCGGGCCGACUGCUGAGCAGUCGGGUCGGAUCUUCCUUGAUGACUUCCUCUUAUUGUUUCUUCUUUUUUUGCCGUCCCUACAGCGGCCAACGCCAGUCUGAGGGCAUAGCUGGGAGAGUCUCAGACUGCCCUUCGUGCCAAGGAGGCCGAGUUUGCCGCCUUGGUGCAGGAACGUGACCGCCUGGCCAAGAGGUUGGCCGACCAGGAGGAGGGCCACAAGGCGGCUCUGAAGGCGGUGCAGGACCGCGAAGCCGCCCUCCAGGCUGAGUACAAGACAGAAGCGGCUGGCUGGGCUGAAGCAAAGCAGACUCUGAUCAAUGGCUAUGGCCAGAUCGAAGAUCUGGUUGACGGUAAGCCGCCUACUUCUUCGUCCUUUCUUGCCGUCUGCCGCUUUUGGCUCGUUUUCUGUCUUGGUGUUUUCUCUUCUUUCUCUUUCUUUCUUGCACAGAGUACUUCCCUGGCUACUCUACCGCGGCCAGCCAGAUCAUCGAAGCCCGCCGCCAAGCACGAAGGCAGGCUGGCGUCGAGAUUGCACCAAACGCUGGCCGUUCGCUGGAGGAGCAGCUUUUGGCAAUCCAGGCCCGUCUCCAGCCGGCUCACCGACUGCUCCGCCGGCUUCAUCCUACCGGGGCGCAAGUAUUGGCCGCCCUCUGGCCCGACGAAGUGGUUCCCCGCACCCCCAGUCGGACUGCCGAUUGGCUGGAGGUGGCGGUCGGUCGCUUCGAAACCUGGAAGGCCUCGGCGGCUCGGUCCGGCGCCAGGCGGGCGCUGGAGUUCGUCAAGGCCUGGUACCCCGGCCUAAGUCUGGACCAGCUGGCUACCUGGCGGCAGCAAGCCAACACGGAGCUGGAGCCGGCGCGGCCGGCUAUCAUCCAGCGGGCUUCGGCGAUCGCCGACUACACCGACACCAGCGUCUUCGCCCCUGAGGUAGAUGACAACGGUGUCGCCCAGCCGGAGGAGUGGUUCAGGCUGAACCCGGCAGACGGUGAAGACUCGGCGGAGGAGAUCGACUCCAGCGACGAGGGCGAGGAGGAGGAGGAGGAGGGUGAAGACGCCGAGCCGGAUGGUGGAGCGGCCGACCAGCCUCAGCCUGACCGCGCCUCCAGCACCACGUCACGCGCGGGUGCGUCGCCUGCCACCGGUGGUGACCAAGCCGAGACCCGCCAGCCGGCCACUCCUUCAGCCGGCGAGGCCAUCUCCACCGACCAGCCUGGCUCCCGCACCGCGCCUUAGUCUAGUCUGCUAUCUUUUAUUUUCCUGUCUUGUCACUUUUGGAACAAUAUUCUGUUAAGUCUGCACAAUUCCACCCACUGGGGGUGUAUUCGAACUUAUGUCGAUUGCCGGCCUGUUGGGGGCUUUAUAUGUAUAUAUGACUUAUGCAUGCGUUUGGCUUUUCCUCGUUCUUUGCUUUUCAUCCUUCUGUUGUUUCCUUUUCGCCCUCCCUUGGUUGCCGCCUCCCCAGUCAGACAGUUUCUCUGCAAUCUGUGGCUGGAAGAGUGCUUGGACAAUUGGGAGGGCAAGUACUCUAGCUUUGUUGGAUUAGAGCUAAGUGUUUAGGAAGCCGGCUAGCCGGCUGUUCUGACAGCCGGCAAGCUUGGUUGGAGGCCGUCUUUUUGCUAUAUAAGUUCGUUAGUCCUUAGCCGUUUUUCGUGUGGGCAUCCUUUCUGCCUUGGCUCUUGCUAGUCAGACAGUCGGUUCUUCGAGCUGCGACUUUCAACAAGAGAGGAUUCGAGAGCCGGCACACUACUUGUCUAACUUCAGGUAGAACUUUUAAUAUAGCUUAAGGCGGUCAGUCCCCGGGCCGACUAGUCGAACCCGGUGCCAGACAAGAAAUCAAAUGUAAUAAUACAUUCAUGGAUAUGACACUCGUCAUUCAUAGAUAAAUGAAGGCAGUCCCCGAGUACUGUUCGGGGGGCCUGUUGGUUCGUACUUAAUACGAAAAGGGUAGCAUGAUACAUACUGCUUUCAACUGUAAAAUCUUCUUAGGAGGUUCGCGUUCCAUGGUCGCUCCGACUCCUUGCCGGAGUCAUCUCUCUUGCGUGCUCUUGGUUUUUGCGCGUCGAUCAAGUAGUAGGAGUCGUUGCCUAGUGCCUUGCUGAUGACGAAGGGGCCUUCCCAAGGGGCCGAGAGCUUGUGCUGGCCGGCUGUUCGCUGGAUCAGCCGAAGCACAAGGUCGCCCUCUUGGAAGGAUCUUGGCUUGACCUUGCGGUUGUGGUAGCGGCGCAGCCCUUGCUGGUAGAUGGCGGACCGACUGAGUGCUAACAGCCGGCUUUCUUCUAGUAGGUCGACGCCGUCUUCUCUUGCUUCCUUGGCCUCCGCCUCCGUGUACAUGGUGACCCGAGGUGAGUCGAACUCGAUGUCGGUUGGGAUGACAGCCUCGGCACCAUAUACAAGGAAGAACGGAGUGAAGCCGGUUGACUUGUUGGGUGUAGUGCGCAAACUCCAGAGGACAGUCGGCAGCUCAUCGAGCCAGCAGCCGGCCGAUCGCUCCAGUGGUACAACUAGUCGGGGCUUGAUGCCGGAGAGGAUGAGUCCAUUUGCUCGCUCGACCUGGCUGUUUGACUGCGGGUGGGCAACGGACGCUAAGUCCAGUCGGAUGCCCUGCGUCGCGCAGAAACGUGCCAGUGCUCCUUUGGUAAAGUUUGUGCCGUUGUCGGUGAUGAUGCUGUGUGGUACGCCGUACCGAGUAGUGAUGUCGGUGAUGAAUGUUACGGCAGUCGGCCCAUUCAGCUUCUUGAUCGGCUUCGCUUCGAUCCACUUGGUGAACUUGUCCACGGCGACAAGCAGAUGUGUCAAGCCGCCGCGGGCUGUCUUGAAAGGGCCCACCAUGUCCAGUCCCCAGACGGCAAAGGGCCAGGUAAGGGGAAUGGUCUUGAGUGCAGAAGCCGGCAGGUGUUGCUUGGAACUGAAGACUUGGCAUCCUCUGCAGCUCUUGACUAUCUCUUUGGCAUCUUCCAAGGCAGUCGGCCAAAAGAAACCAUGGCGGAAAGCCUUGGCCACAAGUGAUCUUGAGGCUGCGUGGUGGCCGCACUCACCUUGGUGGAUAUCCUUGAGGAUUGCCACUCCUUUUUCUGGCUCGACACAACGCUGGAAGACUCCAGUGACGCUGCGCUUCACAAGCUCUCUGUUGAUUAUUGCAUAUGCUCCGGCUCAUCGUUGCACUAGUCUUGCUGAGAUCUCAUCAGCCGGCAGCUCUCUGCUGACUAGGAACUUGAGGAUGGGCUGGGCCCAUCAUGGAGCUGUGACUUCUUCUUCUGUUAGCGUAGCCACCAUGACUCGGGUGGGUGGGUUGGGUGGCGUGGAGUUGGAGUCGGCCACCGCUUCUUGUGUCGUUGCAGUCCCCGGGCCGACUGCUGCAGUCCCCAGGCCGGGUUCUGAAGUCCCCGUGCCGCCUGCGGGGUUCCUCCAGUCGGAUCCGGCUGCAUUUGGCACAGGCGGUACGAAGAUAGAGUCCAACUCUGGAGACGGCUUGAUGGACGGCUUGAGGAGGCGCUGGAGGGAGACGCCCGUCGGUAUGGCUUGUCGGGUGGAGCCGAUCCGUGCUAGGGCAUCUGCUUGGUCAUUGUCGGCCCUUGGCACGUGAAGGAACUCGCACCCUUCGAAGUACCCGCUAAUCUGCUGGACGAGGAAUCGAUAGCUCGCCAUGUUCGCGUCCUUGGCGUCCCAGUCGCCAGACGACUGCUGGACCACCAAGUCUGAGUCGCCGUAACACAGGAUCCGGCGUAUGCCGAGCUCUUUGGCUAGCCGGAGCCCAUGUACGAGCGCCUCGUACUCGGCCACGUUGUUGGAGGCGGCGAAGUGGAUCUGCAGCGUGUAUUUGAGCUUGUCGCCUUUGGGAGAGGUGAGGACGAUGCCGACUCCCAAGCCGGUGCGCAUCUUGGACCCGUCAAAGUGCAUCCGCCAAUGGGUAGAGUCGGGAGCCGGCGGUAGGUACUGGGUCUCGGCCCAGUCGACGAGGAAGUCGGCCAGUGCUUGGGACUUGAUGGCGGUGCGGGGCUGGUAGAAGAUCGUGUAUGGUGCCAAUGCAAUGGCCCACUUAGCCACCCGGCCGGAUGCAUCCCGGCUGCCUAUGAUCUCGGCGAGCGGGGCGGUGCACACGACCGUGAUGGGAUGCUCUUGGAAGUAGGGCUUCAGUUUCUUGGCGGCGAAGUACACCCCAUAGCACAUCUUCUGGUAGUGCGGGUAGUUCUGCUUUGAGCUGGAUAGCACUUCGCUUAGAUAGUACACUGGCGUCUGGACUAGCUGGGCUCGGCCUUCUUCCGGGCGCUGGACCACAACAACUGUACUGACUACUCGGCUAGUCACAGCAAUGUAGAGGAGCAUGGGCUCCUUCUCAGUCGGCGCUGCCAGGACAGGCGGAGUGGUCAGCAUUUUCUUCAACUCAUGGAAGGCUUGGUCGGCUUGGUCAUUCCACUCGAAGUGAGUGGACUUCUUCAUUAGUCGGUACAGGGGAAGAGCGUUCUCUCCUAGUCAGCUGAUAAAGCAGUUUAGGGAGGCCAGGCACCCGGUGAACUUCUGCACAUCUCGCAAUUUGGUGGGAAUCUCCAUCCUCUCGAUGGCCUUGAUCUUCACAGGGUUGCACUCGAUGCCGCGUUCGGAGACCAGGAAGCCUAGCAGCUGGCCGGCUGGUACUCCGAACACGCAUUUCUCGGGGUUGAGCUUGAUUUGGAGUCGGCGCAAGUUGGCGAAUGUUUCUUUCAGGUCUUCCAGCAGGGUGCCGCGCUUCUCUGUCUUCACCACAAUGUCGUCUACAUAGACGUGGGCAUUUCUGCCGAGUUGCUUCAGGAGGCAUUUUUGCAUGCAACACUGAAAAGUGGCACCGGCAUUCCUCAGGCCGAAUGUCAUAGUCAGGUAACAGAAAGCUCCAAAUGGUGUGAUGAAGGCAGUCUUCAGGCGGUCUGCUGGGUCCAACUUGAUCUGAUGGUACCCUGAGUAGGCAUCCAAAAAACUCAACAGCUCGCAUCUGGCUAUGGAGUCUAUCACUUGGUCAAUCCGUGGCAAUGCAAACGGAUCCUUGGGGCAGGCCUUGUUCAGGCUGGUGUAGUCUAUACACAUACGCCACUUGUUAUUCUUCUUCAAUACCAGAACUGGGUUGGCAAGCCACUCUGGAAAAAACACUUCCAUAAUAAAGCCAACGGCGAGGAGCCGGGCUAUCUCUUCUCCUACGAUUCUUUGCUUCUCUUCUGACAGUCGGCGGAGGGGCUGCUUGACCGGCUUCGCGUUGGCUCGGACAUGUAAUUUGUGCUCGGCGAAAUCCUUCGGGACACCCGGCAUGUCCUUUGGGGACCAUGCAAAAAUGUCUCGAUUCUCACGGAGGAAGUCGACGAGCUCGCCUUCCUAUUUACUGUCCAAGUUUGCCCCAAUGACGGCAAACCUCUCCGGAUUCUCCGGGUCCAGAGGUAUCUUCUUCGUCUCCUUGGCCGGCUGGAAGGAGCCUUGUGCAUCACAGUCUUUGGGAUUGGGGGACAAGGCCGGCUGCUUGCUGGCCAUGGCCACAACCCGCUCCAGCAUCUUCUUCUCUUCUGUUACCACGAGGGACUCGGCCAGCCGGCUACUGGCCAUGGCGCACUCGAUGGACUUCUUGUAGUCGCCGGCUACGGUGAUGAUCCCCUUCGAGCUCAGCAUCUUCAUCUUCAGGUAGGCGUAGUGGGGCACAGCCAUGAACUUGGCCAGAGCAGGUCGGCCAAGCAAAGCAUGGUAGGGCUCUCCAGAUCCACUACUUCGAACCAGAUCGCUUCUCGGGGAAAAUGAUCUUUGUCUCCGAAGAGAACAUCCAUCUUAAUCUUGCCGAUUGGGGAGCAAGACAAGCCGGGGACGAUACCAUGGAACACGGUUCGGCUUGGCAUAAGCUGCUUCGCCUUGAUGUUCAGCUUCUCCAUGGUAUCGCGGUACAGUAUAUUGAUACUGCUUCCGCCAUCUAUCAGGACGCGGGAGAAUCGGGCAGCUCGCCUCUCCGUCGCGAGGGUGACAUCCAAGACCAGUGCAUAGGAGCCAGGGGAUGGCAUCACCUCUGGGUGGUCGGCCUGGCUCCAGCUGAUUGGCUUCUCUGACCAGUGCAUGAACUCGGGAGCGCUAGAGGCGACUGCGUUGACCUCUUGAUGCUGACGGCGCCGACUGCGCUUGUCUUCGGCUUGGCUGGUGAAGACGAUGUAGGCGGCGUGCUCUUCAGGGAAUUCAUCUUGAAUGGCUCCGACUGCCGGCCGAGCCGCCGGCUGCUGGGGGCUGGAGGCGGCGGGCCGGGAGGCGGAGGCGGCACCAGCCCUUCGCCCUUGGAGAUUCGCGUGAGCCAGUGGCAUUUUCGGGUCAUGUGGUUGGACGGCUUCGCGCCGCUGUGGAACUUGCAGGGGGCGUCAAGAGUCUGCUUGUAAGGGAAAGCCGGCUGCCAAGCCGGCCUGCCACCCUUCUUCUUGGGAGCGGGCCGCUCUUCGGGCUGCUCAUCUUCAACUGUGGCCACCUGCCGACUGGUGGAAGUCGGCAUGGGGGCCUUGCGCUUGUGAUCGUUCUGGUAGGGGCGCCGAUUGGAGUUGCUAGCCGGCGUCUUGGGAGCCGGAGCAAUCACCUCCCCAGAGGCGUCUACUUGAAGCUCGGUCUUCAUCGAGGAGUCGGCCGUGGCGUACUUGUCCGCGAUGAUGAGCAGUUCGUCGAGGGUAGCCGGCUUGUCACAGAGGAGUCGGCGCUUGAGGAGGGUGCCCUCUCGGCACCCGACGGUGAAGUACUCGAUGGCCUGAACCUCGUGCACCCCUCGCAGGAGUUGCGGAGCUCAGCCCACCACGUGAGGUAGUCGCGGGUCGACACGUUGGGCCCUUGGACGCAUAGGGAGAGCUGGCGAGGCUUGGGAGGCCGCUUGUACGUGCUGGUGAAGUUGCGGACGAAGACUUCCGUGAAGUCCAGCCAGCUGUUGAUGCUGUAGGGCUUGAGGCUAUUGAGCCAGGUGCGCGCCGUGCCUUGCAGCAUGAGGGGGACGUACUUCACGGCUACGCGCCGAUUGCCAUUGGCUAUGCUGACAGCAAUGGAGUAGUCGAUGAGCCAAUCUUCCGGCUUCACUGAGCCGUUGUACUUGGGUGUGUCUCUGGGGAGCGAGAACCCUUUGGGGAAGGGCUCGUCGCGGAUGCGGGGGCCAAAGCAUGGCGGUCCGACAUCGUCUUCUUCUUCUAACGCCAGGGAUCGGGCAAGGCGGUCGAUCCGGUGGCGGGCGUCGUUCUCGCCGACUCCUUCUCGGCGGCCUAGUCGGUCACCAAGAGUCGGGUGUGUGACGGGCGGCGGGGUGAGACGUCUCUCUCUUCGAGGCGGGGGAGGAGGCAGAUUUCCUUGGCGCUCCACCGCUCGAGGGUGGCCUUCCGCGUCGCGCUCGAUGGUGAUACGAGUCCGGCUGCGGCUAGCAGCCGGCUCCUUGUCUUUUUUCUGGCAGGCGCCGCUCGCAGUCGGCGAGCGGGACGUCGCUGCGUGUUCUCAGCGCGGGGGAUGACUAUCGGCGCGGGCGCAGGCCUCGUGCCGUUCGGCAGCCGCGUCGAUCAGCUGCUGGAUCCGUCUUGUCAUGUAGGGGAGCUCAUCGGCUCCCAGCCCAUUUAGCUCUUCAGCGGCCGCCUGAGCGGCUCGCAGAUUCUCGAGCGGGGUGGCGUAGACGGGGCGAUCUGCCGCCAGCAUGCUAGCGAUAGCCGCGCCGCGCUUCUGGACGAAGCCAGCUCGGCUCGGCCCGCUAGGCGGCGGCGUACCGAAGGCGGCGCGGUCGACUUCGCGCUGGUGGGCCUCGGUGAGGCGUCUCAUGGAGGCUAUCUUCUGGCCUUCCGCGACGAGGGCGAGGCGACGUGCCUCCAGGGUCUCGGCGUCGGCGUCGGACGGGAUGGGGACGGACAGAUCGUGCAUCGCCGCUUGCAGGGCGUCGUGGGCGUUCUCGCCCGAGUUGGCGACGUGGCUGAUGACCAACACUUCGGUGACAGCGCUGCUGCCACUGUCAGCUCGAGGGAGAGGAUCGUCGAAGACCACCACGUCGGAGGGGUAGGCGUCGAGCGAUGCCGUGUCGGAGUCGACGAGCAUUGGGUCGGUGGAGCGGACCGACUCCACAUCUGCAGCAGGCUCGCUAGAGACGUGAAGCUGGUCGAGGAGGCUGACGAGGCGGCUCUCGGGGUAGUCCGUGCCCGCGUCAGACGCGGGCUCAUCGGAGAUGCGAGUCUCGCCGAGAAGAUCGGCGAGGCAGCUCGCCGCGCAGGCGUCGUCGACGCCUUGCAGCGCGUCGAGGCAAACGCCAUCGGGCGCAGCAGGCUGGCUGCGCUCGCGGGGGAGGAAGAGGGUUCCCGUCCAGAACAGGUCUCCGGACGACGGUGCACCUGGCCCCACGGUGGGCACCAAAUGUCGGGUGGUAGGUGCGACAUAUGCCAACGGGUGGCUUAUCAUGGUGGGUGCCAGUAAGACGCCGCCGGUGCCUGGAAACGGGAUGAGGUGAAGACAUGCACGCCGGCGAAUCUUACCCAGGUUCGGGGCUCUCCGUGGAGAUAACACCCCUAGUCCUGCUCUGCGGGGUCUCCGCAUGAUCACUAGAUCAGAAAGAGUAGCUACAAUUGCUCCUAGAGCUGUUGGGUUCAAGGGAGAAGAAGAGCAAGGCUAGCUCUCACUUCCCUCUCUCUAUGGUGUGUGUGUAACUCUAAGAAGCCAACCCUUUGCAUGGGUGCCUCGGGGGGUUUAUAUAGGCCUACCCCCCGGGGGUACAAUUGUAAUCCGGCUGGGCGCUGGUCCCAGUCGUCAGUGUCUGCGCUCGCCGGCUUCUCCGCCGGCCGUUGGGUCCCGCCGACUGGUGGGUCCCGCCGGCUGCCGGCCUCUUGGUCGACAGGCCGGCCCCACUGCCUAGGGGUCUUGUCGGCGGCUGCUUACUGUAGCCUCAUCCCUGAUGACGAGGGCUUCGUCGAGGUAAGCGUGGCUACAGUGUGCCGCCUCGAGGGCUCUCACUGUAGCCUUACCUCGUCUUGUCUCCUUAAUGUGGCACAUGCUUUGAGGGAGGGGGUAGCCGGCUUCUGGGGGCCGGCUACGCCUUGGCCGACUGGGGAGGCCGGGCCGCCUUCGCGCCUCUCUCUGGCUAAAGGGGCCUGCCGCCGUGGGCCGUACUGGCGUCUGUCGUGGGUGACGUUGAGGCCAGCAUGGCUACAAUGCCGAGCCGGAUGGGAGAUGGCCGUCCCGUACGGCGUCCUGUGGCCAUGCCUGCCUCGGGCUUCGGGGGUAGUGGGCCGCACUGUGGCCACACCCCGUCUUGUCACCGUUAUGUGGGUGUAGUUUUGGUGGGUGCGGUCUUUGCCGGCUUCUUGGAGUCGGCGCUCUUCAUGGCCGGCUCUGGGGAGUCGGCGUUCUUCAUGGCCGGCUCUGGGGAGUCGGCAUCCUCUAUGGCCGGCUUCCUGGAGUCGGCCAUCCCGUGAUUAUCUUGGGGGGAGGUUGCUGAGGCUGGGUCGCCUUCUGAGAGUCGGCUUCAGAGGUAGCCGGCCAGGGAAGGCGGCCCAAUGCUUGAAAUACUUGAAGGCCCAAAUGGCCUGAUAAUUUUUGGAAUAGCCAGGGGCAGUCGGUUAGGCUACCUGUGGCUAUUUACUCCGACAGAACCAUGUUUGAUUGUAAUAAUGUGCCAAGUUUGGCUCUUUUUGAUUGUAUUCAUGAUGUGAACCAUAUUUUUCCGGAUUAGUCGUGCUCUGUUUGAAGCAUUUUGUUUUCUCUCUGUUCUGAUUUAAAUAUUGUUAUUUAUUUACUGGAAAAUUGAGAUCUGAAGAAUAUAACAGUGACAACUUGGACCCACUUAUUAGAACCUGACAUCCGCGUCCCAUCUCACUAGUGGGCCUAUCUUUU
rnacentral:lncRNA from 1 species